GUGGGGAACCUGCCCAUAAGAGGGGGAUAACAUCCGGRAASGGGUGCUAAUACCGCAAGGUGAUCAUAGCGCAUGCUUAGAUCAUUAAAGAUGGCUUCGGCUAUCGCUUAUGGAUGGCCCCGCGGCGUAUUAGCUAGUUGGUGAGGUAAUGGCUCACCAAGGCUGUGAUACGUAGCCGACCUGAGAGGGUGAUCGGCCACACUGGAACUGAGACACGGUCCAGACUCCUACGGGAGGCAGCAGUAGGGAAUCUUCCACAAUGGGCGAAAGCCUGAUGGAGCAAUACCGCGUGAGUGAAGAAGGUCUUCGGAUCGUAAAGCUCUGUUGUUAGAGAAGAACAAGAGGUGUWGUAACUGGCACCUCCUUGACGGUAUCUAACCAGAAAGUCACGGCUAACUACGUGCCAGCAGCCGCGGUAAUACGUAGGUGACAAGCGUUGUCCGGAUUUAUUGGGCGUAAAGCGAGCGCAGGCGGUCUUUUAAGUCUGAUGUGAAAGCCCACGGCUCAACCGUGGAGGGUCAUUGGAAACUGGAAGACUUGAAUGCAGAAGAGGAAAGUGGAAUUCCAUGUGUAGCGGUGAAAUGCGUAGAUAUAUGGAGGAACACCAGUGGCGAAGGCGACUUUCUGGUCUGUAAUUGACGCUGAGGCUCGAAAGCGUGGGGAGCGAACAGGAUUAGAUACCCUGGUAGUCCACGCCGUAACGAUGAGUGCUAAGUGUUGGAGGGUUUCCGCCCUUCAGUGCUGGAGCUACGCAUUAAGCACUCCGCCUGGGGAGUACGGCGCAGCUGAACUCAAAGGAUUGACGGACCCG
rnacentral:rRNA from 1 species